rnacentral:lncRNA from 1 species
UUUCAGUUUGUUGCUUGUUUGUUUUUCUCAUUGCUGAUGUUUUCCUCUUACACAGGAGAAGAAGAUUUCACGACAUGAAUUGAUACAAAGAGUGAGACGAAUAGUUGGAGAUAAGUUGUUGGGUGCAGCCAUCAAAUCUUAUAGAGACAAUAAGGUACGGUGAUUCUCUUUUUUAUAUCUUUUGGAAACAUUGUGACAUAACUUCAUCAAUUUGGUUCAAAUUAAUUCAAUAUAAUUUUCUUUCCUUGAAAUACAGUUCAUUGACUUGAUUUUUUUUAUUAAUAAAUAUUAAUUAUUAGUAUUGAUAAUUUUUGUUAAUAAAUAAUUCGAGUCUAUGAUUUUUUUUUUCUCCUAUUACCAUUAGAUUAAUUUUAUAUCUCCCUAUGCAUUACAAUUUGAUGGUUGAGAAAUCAUUAUCAUUUGCAAUUAGAGUUUUCUUUCCCCUUUCAUGAUGUGCAUAUUCUUUAUACUAGUUAUUCUGAAAUAACUGGGUACUCCUUUUCAAUUUCACCUAUCAAUGUAUUGAGAAGAUUAAAAAAAUAGGAAUAAAAGAGCAACUGGAAAUAUGAAGUUUUAUCCAGAUCUAAUAUGGGUGUAAAGCAUACGGCUAAUUGUUUUUGGUGCUUCUGGAUUAUUUAUUCUGGAAAUUCUGGAAAUUCCGGAAGUGGAAUUAGUUUGAGUGUGCAACAUAGAUCUCAUAACUAUAAGUAGUAUUAUUAGUUUGAGUGGUUGGAACAUUAUUGUCAAAGAAAAAGUAGGUACCAAGAAAAUAUUAUUUUACCUACGCCCCCAACCCUAUGGGAGAUGACAGAAGUGGGAACUGAAUUUAAGAAUUAAAAAACUCUAGAGAUCGUCAUUGCUGUCUCAAUUGUUGUAUUCGUGUGUUUCCUUUCCUUUCCAAUAUGGGAAUUUGGCUUUGUAUUCUUUGUUCGUUGUUACCUAACCUAGUAUAUUUGUUUGUCUUUCACAGAAGAAACCAAGCUUUCUAAAAUCAAGGUCAAAGAAUGGCUUAGCGACGCGGAUAGAAUAAUUUCCUUCACGUGAGUUCUUUUUCUUGGGUUGACACAAUGCAUUACUAAACUUCAUAACCAAACUUACAAGGAGGACACAUAAACUGCUUUAAAAGCACUGUGACAUAUUUGACUCAACCUUUUUUUUUAAUUUGUAUUUUUUUAUGAGGUUGAUAUAGCAUAGGAGAAGGAAUCUUUUCUUUUCUUUUUCUUUAUGGUUGUCACUUGCCAGUGGGAAUGAUGUCCUCCAUGAAUAAGGAUAUGCUAUCAUGGACACAUUGACCCACUCCAAUGGACUGUCCUUAAAAUUGUACAUAGUAAUUUUGUUGUUUCUUCUUUUUCUCUUGAGAUAGAUAUAUUAUUUCAUCAUUACCACAUGUAUUAAAUUAGUUACCCAAUCUAAUUAGUGGC